rnacentral:rRNA from 1 species
GUAGGUGGCAAGCGUUGUCCGGAAUUAUUGGGCGUAAAGCGCGCGCAGGUGGUUCUUUAAGUCUGAUGUGAAAGCCCCCCGGCUCAACCGGGGAGGGUCAUUGGAAACUGGGGAACUUGAGUGCAGGAGAGGAAAGUGGAAUUCCACGUGUAGCGGUGAAAUGCGUAGAUAUGUGGAGGAACACCAGUGGCGAAGGCGACUUUCUGGCCUGUAACUGACACUGAGGCGCGAAAGCGUGGGGAGCAAACAGGGAUUAGAUACCCUGGUAGUCCACGCCGUAAACGAUGAGUGCUAAGUGUUGGGGGGGGUUUUCCCCGGCCCCCGUCAGUGCUGCAGCUAACGCAUUAAGCACUCCGCCUGGGGAGUACGGUCGCAAGACUG